AAAUUUCUUACUAAAAACUUAGAGGUCCAUUAUUUUUUUUUUAUUUUAAGGUGUAGGUGUCUUUUUCAGUUUUUCUCAAUUGCAAACAGACUUACUGGUUUUUCAAUUAAUAAUCAAUUUCACUGUUGUUGUGAGCCAUGAUCUAUCAAAACUUUAGAGAAAAACAAUUCUAACAUGGAAAAGUACAGAUCAAAAAGUCUUGUACCACCUGUUAAAUAAAAUGUAUGAGGUUUUUCACUAUGCAUCUUUAAAAUAAAAAUUGACAAUUUUUGAAGUAAAAUGCUUAGAAUUACAAUGAUAGAAAAAUAUAUGCUAAGAGAAAAAAAAAAGAUAAAGAUCCAAAAUGAUUGUACAUUAGAGAGAGAAAAGUCUAAACAGAGAUUCCAAUUGAGCCUAGUUACAUGAAUUUUGGAAAGAUAUGAAUAAAUUAAAUAAUAAUUUUUUAUUUUAAUAAUAAAUAUAUUUUGAAAUAUAGAUGUAGAGAUCAAAUUGAUAGCCUCGAUUUAUUGAUAGAGUGGGUCCUACUUUGCAUGAUGAGUCUUUGAAGAGGGGGUUAAAAAAUGUGCUUCGGUUAACGUUAUCACUUUCACGUUUAGCAUGCUCCUAGAACGUGUAACAUAGUCUUCCAUACACUUGUAAAUUAGCUUUCUCUCGCUAUGAUUAGAAUAAUUCUAUUCCAAGUUGUGAACUUCUUGUAAAAUAAAAAUUGUAAAGAUAUUAUCCAAAAACAACCUUUUCUAAUUAAUUAUUUUCAUUGUUAUUUAUAUAAAAUUUCUAAAGUUAGUUUGGCAAUCAAAUGGACAAUGCCAUUAUGAAGCCGUGAGGUAUGCUGCAGUUAGGGAUGGCAAAAAUCUUCACGGAACGGGUAUCUUCAGGGAUUUUCUCUAUUCGAGAAGGGUAUGAGGAUAAUUUCAUACCCAAUUUCUUAUUUGGAGAAGGGACGGGAAAAACUUUUUAUCCAAUUUCUUAUUCGGGGAGGGGACGGGGAUGAGGUGGAAUCUCCAUCCCCUAGCCAUUUCCCCAUUUUAAUUUUUAUUUUUAUUUUUAUUUUUUAAAAUUACUAGUAAAUAAAUAAUAAAAUUUGAAUUAUAAAAUUAUAAAUAUUGGUAAAAAUAACAAAUAUCAAAAUAUUUAUAUUAUUAAAUUUUUAGGCCUAAUUAACUAAUUAAAGUCCUAAAUUUUUAUUUAGGACAUUAAAAAAACCGGAUAAAUUCUAUUAGCCCAAAAAUUUUGUUUUGAUUUUAAUAUUCAUUAAAUGUUUUAAACUUAAAUCUAUUUUUUAUUUAUUUUUAGAUGUUAUAAUUGCCCACAGCGAAUCACAAUUUUAAUAUCUAAUUUAAUCUAAUCUAAUCUAAUUUAAUCUAAUAUUUGCUCUUGAUUUGCUCCGACUUAACUAUUGUGAUGUAAAGGGAAUAGUCCACAUUUAUAAAGUGUCCACGCCACCAUUGAAAAAGUUAAUUUUGAAUCUAAAUUCGAUUUUAUUUGUAACAAUUUUGUAUUAGACUAUUAAUUUAUUCACAAUAGUUUGUAAAAGAAGUUUGUAUCCCUUACAUGCUGCGUUACUUACUAAUUUAAUGUAUGUGACUUUUGUAAUGGAUAUUAAUGUAAGAUAUAUUUCAAACUUUACUUUUAUUUGAAUUUUUUAUUUUAAUAUGAUUAACUCAAAAUCGAAAACAAAAAAUGUAUUAGUUAUUCAGGAAUCGAGGAUCCUUGGGGAUCUCCUGUUAUUAUUCGGGGAGGGGAUGAAGAUUCUCUCAAGUAAUUCUGACGAGAAUAGGGAGGGGACGAGGACAUACGCAAAAUAUCGAGAAUGGAUACGGAAAUAUUGGUCCCCUCCCCUCCCCUCCCCAUUGCCAUCCCUAGCUGCAGUGUGGGGUUGUGUGGUUCCUUCAGCUUUUCCUGGAUGUCCAAGAUGGUCCAACAGUUCUCAGUGUUACUGCUUUUUCUUCCUAUCGCCAAAUCCACAGCUUCUUGGCAAUCACAUUCAGUGAACUACUUUCUUAAAAAAAAAAAAAAGAAGAAGAAACAAAUAUCAUGCAUAUGUUAAUCUUCUGGAAGGCUUCAACGGCACAAGAAGUCUUCAGUGACCAUGACUUCUAUGCAUGAAUGGCAACACUUAUGAUAGGAUUGUUCAUUAUUGACAAUUUUUACAAUUGGACCAAUAUCUAACAAAAAUAUUCAUAGUAAAAGUUAUUACCUUAUCGGUAUUGUGUUAUAGUUUAAUGUAAUUCACCUAAUAUAACUUAAUAUAAUAAUUUAGCAAGACACUCCAACACUUACCAAAAACUAUAACCUGAUUCCUCAUUUCCUCCCAUAAUACUCGAAACUGGCCGUCAUGCAAAUGAUCCAAAAACUUUUGUCUAAAAUUUAAUUAGUAUUAAAAUUAAUAAUGAAGUUAUUUAUUGUCCACUAUGAGAUAAACAGUUUAAUAAUGUUUGCAGGUACUACUAAUAGGAAUGGUUGGCAGCUUGAUUAGAUUGUAAAAAGAAUUCAAAUAAGUUGUAGGCUUGAGGUACAAGAAUCGUAAAAGGAAUUAAUAAUAUUUUCAUUGAUUUUUUUUUAUCUUAUAAUUAGAUUAAUGGUUUGUUAUCCGGUCAUAAUAACACCCUUAGAUAAAGUUAUAUAUUUAAUUUUCACUAACAAAAUAAAUACGUAAAUAUUUUUAAAGAGUAUUUGAAGUCAAAAAUAUGCUCUCUAUAUCCCGUUUUAUUUAAAUUUUUAUUACUAAAUCAGCUUUUAGUAAAAUUACUUAAGUAGCCAUGUUCUAUUUCUUCCACAUACUUCAGCUUUCUUUUCCUUACCAGUGUAUUAUUAUCAGAAUAUCAAAUUGCAUAUAGAUUUAUGUAGUUUUCAAAUAAUAUUCUAUUUCACUAUUGUUAUGAGCAUGACCAAUCAAAACAUGAGCGAAAAGCAAUUCUAACUUGGAAAAGUUCGGAAUAAAAUAAAAAAAAUGUACCACCCAUUAAAUUUAUGAGAAUUUUCACAUGCAUCUUUAAAAUAAAAGUUGACAAUUUUUGAAAUAAAAUGUUUAGAAUUACAAUAACAGAUAAAUAUAUACCAAGAAAAAAUACGAUUGAAACGGAGAAGGAAGUUAAAUUGUUAAAGUCCGAAAUGAUUGGAAAAAUGUACUUAUCUGGCCAUUUUAAAAAACUCAUUGUCAAAAUUUAUCAUAAAAUAAAAUUUCUUGCCAUGAUAACCACAUAUACCUAAUUUUAACUGAAUUACCCUUAAAAACAAACUAAGAAUUGUUGCAAGAGGUGUUCGGUUCAUGGCCAUUGCCAGCAAGAGAUGGGUAUUUUCAACGUUGCCCGCCCUUCACUUAGGCAAUGGUCUCUAUCGUCCGCAAGAGUUAGGCAAAAGUUUUCUUAACUCUCCCAGGCUAUGGUUGGAUUUAGUUGGAUUAUUUUGAAAGUAGUUUGAUCCAAGUUGAGUGUAUGUGGCUAUUACCAGAGAAACACUUAAAAAACAGAGAUUCUAAUUGAGGCUAGUUUCAUGAUUUUUAAAAGCCAUAAAUAAAAACAAUUAUUAUUCAUUUUAACAAUGAAUAUAUUUUAAAAAAUGAGCACGGCGAUGAAAUUAGUGGAAUGAAAUAAUCUGGGUUCAAUGAAAGCAACUUUUGUUUAAAUUAUACAUAUCAUGUCUGAUUUUUCUCAAAAAAAAAAAAAAACAAAAACGAAAAAAAAAAGCCAAAAUAUCACUUUCCUGUUUAGCAUGCGUCCAGAAUCUGUAACAUGCUUUCCAUACACUUGUUAAAUUAACUCUGUCGUUGGACCAUGUAUGGUUGCAAGAAAUUCCAUCAGAUAUCGUGACCGUCUUUUAAUGCUCUAUUUGUUAUUUAGUGAACUAAUUUCUUUUUAAAAAUAAAAAUUAAAUUAAAUAUCAUGCAUGAUUAAUCUUCAGGAAGUCUUAGACCAGAAAGGAAGCCCUCAGCGACUAAGACUUGAUUAUUGGAUUGUUCAUUGUUGACGAUCUUUACAAUUAGACAAAUUUGGCUGUCAUAGACUAUUUUCUUAAUUCGUAAUUCAUCAAUUUUAUCUAAUAGACAUAUUUAUAGUAAAAUUAUUGCUCUGUUGGUACGGGGUGUACGUUGUAGUUUAUAGCAAUCCAACCUAAUAUAACUUAAUAUAAUUUAACAUGGCACUCCAAACAUAGCAAACAUUGGUUUAAAUUAUUAAUUCCUAGUUUGCAUGACCAAAAUUUUGUGCUUCUCUCGAGUCUCUGUCUCUUUGAAAUUGUAUCAUCAAUAUCUUGCAUACUUUCCCCACCCAAAAAAAAAAAAAGAUCACUUCCACGUUCAUGAGGUCCCCAAAAGGGGUGAGAUGGUUGUUGCCCUUGUAAUUGCCAAAUUAACUCUCUCUCUUUGUGGAGACCACCGUGUGUGUGUGUGUGUGUGUGUGUGUGUGUGUGUGUGUGUGUGUGUGUGUGGUGGAAGAAAUUCUAACAUAAGUGGUGAAAUUUUUUAAUGCUCUAUUUGUUAUAAUGAACUACAUUCUUUCAAAAACAAAAUAUCAAGCAUAUUUUAAUCUUCAGGAAGGCCUCAGCCAUACAUGACGUCUUCAGCGACCAUGACUUCUACACAUUAAUCGUAUCACUGGUGAUAGGAUUGUUCAGUGUUGACGAUUUUUACAAUUGGACCAAUCUGUUUCAAACAAGUGUUUUAAGACUUUAUUUUCCUAAUUUGGAAUUUAUCAAUUUUAUCAAGCACAAAUAUUUAUAGUAAAAGUUAUCGCCUUAUUGGUAUUGUGUAGGGAUGGCAAUAGGGGGGGGGGGGGGAGGGGACCAAUUUUCUCGUAUUCAUCUUCGAUAUUUUGGGUAUGUCUCCGUCCCCUCCUCGUUCCCGUCAGAAUUACUUGAGAGAAUCUUCAUCCCCUCCCCGAAUAAUAACAGGGAAUCCCCAAGGGUCUCCGAUCCCCGAAUAACUAAUACAUUUUUUGUUUUCGAUUUUGAGUUAAUCAUAUUAAAAUAAAAAAUUUAAAUAAAAGUAAAGUUUAAAAUAUAUCUUACAUUAAUAUCCAUUACAAGUCACAUACAUUAAAUUAGUAAGAAACGCAGCAUGUAAGAGAUACAAACUUCUUUUACAAACUAUCAUGAAUAAAUUAAUAGUCAAAUACAAAAUUGUUACAAAUAAAAUCGAAUUUAGAUUCAAAAUUAACUUUUUCAAUGGUGGCGUGGGCACUUUAUAAAUAUGGACCAUUUCCUUUACAGCACAAUAGUUAAGUCGGAGCAAAUCAAGAGCAAAUAUUAGAUUAGAUUAGAUUAGAUAUUAAAAUUAUGAUUCGAUGUGGACAAUUAUAACAUCUAAAAAUAAAUAAAAAAUAGAUUUAAGUUUAAAACAUUUAAUGAAUAUUAAAAUAAAAACAAAUUUUUUGGGCUAAUAGAAUUUACCCGGUUUUUUUAAUGUCCUAAAUAAAAAUUUAGGACUUUA
rnacentral:lncRNA from 1 species